UUAUGUACGAUUUUAUUUUUAAUCUUAAGUUUCGAAUGUGAUAAAUACGAAACGGAGAAAGAAUCAUUGAUGAAACGUUUUAGUAUAAAUAAAUUUGAUAU